CCUACGGGUGGCAGCAGUGAGGAAUUUUGGUCAAUGGGCGCGAGCCUGAACCAGCCAAGUCGCGUGAGGGAAGACGGUCCUAUGGAUUGUAAACCUCUUUUGUCGGGGCGCAAAAGACGCCACGCGUGGCGUUCCGUGAGUACCCGAAGAAAAAGCAUCGGCUAACUCCGUGCCAGCAGCCGCGGUACUACGGAGGAUGCGAGCGUUAUCCGGAUUUAUUGGGUUUAAAGGGUGCGCAGGCGGAAGAUCAAGUCAGCGGGAAAAUUGAGAGGCUCAACCUCUUCGAGCCGUUGAAACUGGUUUUCUUGAGUGAGCGAGAAGUAUGCGGAAUGCGUGGUGUAGCGGUGAAAUGCAUAGAUAUCACGCAGAACUCCGAUUGCGAAGGCAGCAUACCGGCGCUCAACUGACGCUCAUGCACGAAAGUGUGGGUAUCGAACAGGAUUAGAUACCCCUGUAGUC
rnacentral:rRNA from 1 species